rnacentral:rRNA from 1 species
AUUGAACGCUGGCGGAAUGCUUUACACAUGCAAGUCGAACGGCAGCACGGGGGCAACCCUGGUGGCGAGUGGCGAACGGGUGAGUAAUACAUCGGAACGUGCCCGGUCGUGGGGGAUAACGUAGCGAAAGUUACGCUAAUACCGCAUACGAUCUACGGAUGAAAGCGGGGGACCGUAAGGCCUCGCGCGAUUGGAGCGGCCGAUGUCAGAUUAGGUAGUUGGUGAGGUAAAGGCUCACCAAGCCGACGAUCUGUAGCUGGUCUGAGAGGACGAACAGCCACACUGGGACUGAGACACGGCCCAGACUCCGACGGGAGGCAGCAGCGGGGAAUUUUGGACAAUGGGCGCAAGCCUGAUCCAGCCAUUCCGCGUGCAGGACGAAGGCCUUCGGGUUGUAAACUGCUUUUGUACGGAACGAAAAGGCUCUGGUUAAUACCCGGGGCUCAUGACGGUACCGUAAGAAUAAGCACCGGCUAACUACGUGCCAGCCGCCGCCGUAA